AUGAACGCUGGCGGCGUGCCUAAUCCCUGCCAGUCGAGCGCACGGACGAGAAGCUUGCUUCUCUGAUGUUAGCGGCGGACGGGUGAGUAACACGUGGAUAACCUACCUAUAAGACUGGGAUAACUUCGGGAAACCGGAGCUAAUACCGGAUAAUAUUUUGAACCGCAUGGUUCAAAAGUGAAAGACGGUCUUGCUGUCACUUAUAGAUGGAUCCGCGCUGCAUUAGCUAGUUGGUAAGGUAACGGCUUACCAAGGCAACAAUGCAUAGCCGACCUGAGAGGGUGAUCGGCCACACUGGAACUGAGACACGGUCCAGACUCCUACGGGAGGCAGCAGUAGGGAAUCUUCCGCAAUGGGCGAAAGCCUGACGGAGCAACGCCGCGUGAGUGAUGAAGGUCUUCGGAUCGUAAAACUCUGUUAUUAGGGAAGAACAUAUGUGUAAGUAACUGUGCACAUCUUGACGGUACCUAAUCAGAAAGCCACGGCUAACUACGUG
rnacentral:rRNA from 1 species